rnacentral:rRNA from 1 species
CAGGGAAUCUUGCGCAAUGGACGAAAGUCUGACGCAGCGAUGCCGCGUGGAGGAUGACGGCCCUCGGGUUGUAAACUCCUUUCAGGAGGGACGAAAUUGACGGUACCUCCAGAAGAAGCCCCGGCUAACUACGUGCCAGCAGCCGCGGUAAUACGUAGGGGGCAAGCGUUGUCCGGAUUUAUUGGGCGUAAAGAGCUCGUAGGCGGCUUGGUAAGUCGAUCGUGAAAACCAGAGGCUCAACCUCUGGACGUCGGUCGAUACUGCCAUGGCUAGAGUCCGGUAGAGGAGAGUGGAAUUCCCGGUGUAGCGGUGGAAUGCGCAGAUAUCGGGAGGAACACCAGUAGCGAAGGCGGCUCUCUGGGCCGGAACUGACGCUGAGGAGCGAAAGCGUGGGUAGCAAACAG